rnacentral:rRNA from 1 species
GACAGAGGGUGCAAACGUUUGUUCGGAAUUACUGGGCGUAAAGCGCGUGUAGGCUGCUCUGCAAGUCGGAUGUGAAAGCCCUGGGCUCAACCUAGGAAGUGCACUCGAAACUGCGGAGCUUGAGUCUCGGAGAGGAUCCGCGGAAUUCUCGGUGUAGAGGUGAAAUUCGUAGAUAUCGAGAGGAACACCGGUGGCGAAGGCGGCGAUCUGGACGAUGACUGACGCUGAGGAACGAAAGCCAGGGAGCAAACGGG